GAGUUUGAUCAUGGCUCAGGAUGAACGCUAGCGGCAGGCUUAACACAUGCAAGUCGAGGGGUAACAGGGAAAGCUUGCUUUCCCCUGACGACCGGCGCACGGGUGCGUAACGCGUAUACAAUUUACCUUAUACAGGGGGAUAGCCUUUAGAAAUGAAGAUUAAUACCCCAUAGUCUAUUGAUAUGGCAUCAUAUUAAUAGUAAAGAUUUAUCGGUAUAAGAUGAGUAUGCGUCCUAUUAGCUAGAUGGUAGAGUAAUGGUUUACCAUGGCAACGAUAGGUAGGGGUCCUGAGAGGGAGAUCCCCCAUACUGGUACUGAGACACGGACCAGACUCCUACGGGAGGCAGCAGUGAGGAAUAUUGGGCAAUGGAGGCAACUCUGACCCAGCCAUGCCGCGUGCAGGAAGACUGCCCUAUGGGUUGUAAACUGCUUUUAUAGAGGAAGAAACCCUCCCACGUGUGGGAGGCUGACGGUACUCUACGAAUAAGGACCGGCUAACUCCGUGCCAGCAGCCGCGGUAAUACGGAGGGUCCAAGCGUUAUCCGGAAUCAUUGGGUUUAAAGGGUCCGUAGGCGGGCAAUUAAGUCAGAGGUGAAAUCCCACAGCUCAACUGUGGAACUGCCUUUGAUACUGGUUGUCUUGAGUUAUAGUGAAGUAGAUAGAAUGUGUAGUGUAGCGGUGAAAUGCAUAGAUAUUACACAGAAUACCGAUUGCGAAGGCAGUCUACUAACUAUUGACUGACGCUAAUGGACGAAAGCGUGGGGAGCGAACAGGAUUAGAUACCCUGGUAGUCCACGCCGUAAACGAUGGAUACUAGUUGUUAGUUGUACAUUGGUAUGAUUAGUGAUUAAGCGAAAGCAAUAAGUAUCCCACCUGGGGAGUACGGU
rnacentral:rRNA from 1 species